rnacentral:rRNA from 1 species
AACGAACGCUGGCGGCAGGCCUAUCACAUGCAAGUCGAGCGCACCUUCGGGUGAGCGGCGGACGGGUUAGUAACGCGUGGGAACGUGCCCUUCUCUACGGAAUAGCCUCUGGAAACGGAGAGUAAUACCGUAUACGCCCUUCGGGGGAAAGAUUUAUCGGAUUUGGAUCGGCCCGCGUUAGAUUAGGUAGUUGGUGGGGUAACGGCCUACCAAGCCUACGAUCUAUAGCUGGUUUUAGAGGAUGAUCAGCAACACUGGGACUGAGACACGGCCCAGACUCCUACGGGAGGCAGCAGUGGGGAAUCUUGGACAAUGGGGGCAACCCUGAUCCAGCCAUGCCGCGUGAGUGAAGAAGGCCCUAGGGUCGUAAAGCUCUUUCGCCUGUGAUGAUAAUGACAGUAGCAGGUAAAGAAACCCCGGCCAACUCCGUG